UUUCUCGUUGACCACACUUUUCCUCCUUUUUCCGCGUACCAAACAAGCCCUUAGUACCAAAGAUUAUAGCCUACAUUUGGUGUACCAGCUCAGCGGUACACCAGGCCAAUAAAAUGCCGCUACAUGGACAUUCUGGCCACGUCGAAGGGGUAAUAAAACGAAGCGGCGUGGGCGGCGGAGGGGGCGCCGGAGCGGGCAAGCUCGGCGAAGAUGGGGAGGGAGCGGACAUAGGCGUCGAGGAGGCAGACAUCGAGGUUGAGGACGCCCUGGGGGCGGAGGGACUGGGGGAAGCAUACCUGAUACCUGGACGGCGACCAAGCGGGUAGCGGUGGAGGCGCGGGCGGUGCCGAUGAGGGUGUCGGCGACCGAGAGGAAGCGGGGGCGGGCGGCGUAGAUGUUGACGGUGACCGUGGCGGUUUCGAAGUGGAGGAUGGAUUUGGAUCGGAGCGGGGGAGGGACGGGGAGGAGCAGGCGGGGGUGUGGGGACGCCGGGGAGGUGCUCCCAGGAGAAGGGGAUGGUGGGCGAGGGAAGGAGGUGGGGAAAGAAUCGGUGGGCGGGGGAAGAAGAUGGGGAAGAGGAGGUGGAGGAGAAGGAAGAGGCGGAGAUGGCAGAGGAUUGCGUCCGGCGGCGGAUUUGACGGCAUUCCGGCGGAGAUCCGGCUGCCGGAUCUGCCGGAGUCUUGGGGGCGGCACCGCCGUUUCCUUCAUCGCCGGUUCUUUAUGUUUUUUUUUGUUAAUUUUAUUCGGUGGCAAUUUUGGCAGGAUUUUAUUGGCCUGUUGCGCCGCACCUGUUCGAUAUAAUAUCUCGCAGUGAAUAUUAUUGAAGGGGUCAUCUGAUUUUAUUUUUCAGAUGGUUAUCUAAAUACUCUUGGUUAAUGGAAAAUAAGUAGUCUAAAUUUCUAACAGAUUAUUAGUUUUAGUGAUGCUAACUUUGUCGAGUGUGAAAUAUUGUGAAAGCAUUAUUUCUAUAAUUACUGAUAUUAUUUGCAUAUUGUGCAGGAGGGAUUCAAGUACCAUCAUGCAGAGCAAACAUAU
rnacentral:lncRNA from 1 species